rnacentral:rRNA from 1 species
GGCCCGCCAGAGGACCCCUAAACUCUGUUUCUAUAUGUAACUUCUGAGUAAAACCAUAAAUAAAUCAAAACUUUCAACAACGGAUCUCUUGGUUCUGGCAUCGAUGAAGAACGCAGCAAAAUGCGAUAAGUAAUGUGAAUUGCAGAAUUCAGUGAAUCAUCGAAUCUUUGAACGCACAUUGCGCCCGCCAGUAUUCUGGCGGGCAUGCCUGUUCGAGCGUCAUUUCAACCCUCAAGCACAGCUUGGUGUUGGGACUCGCGUUAAUUCGCGUUCCUCAAAUUGAUUGGCGGUCACGUCGAGCUUCCAUAGCGUAGUAGUAAAACCCUCGUUACUGGUAAUCGUCGCGGCCACGCCGUUAAACCCCAACUUCUGAAUGUUGACCUCGGAUCAGGUAGGAAUACCCGCUGAACUUAAGCAUAUCAU